rnacentral:rRNA from 1 species
CGGAUGCUCGGGAGAGCGACUGGUAAAAACUCUGGUGCUUCAGGAGGGGCCUGCGGCCGAUUAGCUAGUUGGCGGGGUAAGAGCCCACCAAGGCGACGAUCGGUAGCUGGUCUGAGAGGACGAUCAGCCACACGGGAACUGAGACACGGUCCCGACUCCUACGGGGGGCAGCAGUGAGGAAUAUUGGGCAAUGGGCGAAAGCCUGACCCAGCAACGCCGCGUGGAGGAAGACGGCCUUCGGGUUGUAAACUCCUUUUACGGGGGAAGAGGAAGGACGGUACCCCGAGAAUAAGUCACGGCUAACUACGUGCCAGCAGCCGCGGUAAUACGUUGGUGACAAGCGUUAUCCGGAAUUACUGGG